rnacentral:tRNA from 1 species
GGAGAGAUGACCGAGUGGUUGAAGGUACCGGUCUUGAAAACCGGCGUGCGCUAACCCGUACCGUGGGUUCGAAUCCCACUCUCUCCGCCA